rnacentral:lncRNA from 1 species
GCAGGCCCGCCACGGGGCUUCAGCAGGUGAAGUUCACGGGUGCACUCGCCCGGGGCUGGAGGCAGCGGUCACUGACGCCAGGCGCUUCCGGCAAACUGCGGCGUCGCUGUGCCCCGGAGAUCCAGUGAUCGGACCCCACCUCAUCCCUGCAACCCCUCAGUGGUUUAGAAGCACGAACCUCCGUGUCACACACCUUCAGCCUGAGAUGCCCAGACAGGUGCCCGAGCGAAGGCGAGGUGCUUCCUCAGUUUCAAGGCAGAAUCAGAAAAUCGGACAAUAUCAGAGGGCUACUAUAAAAGGAGACCGUAUUUCUUGCGGCAGGACGGGAAAUCACUCCCCAGGCUUCAUCCCUGGCUGGUGGAAUCACAACACACACUGAAUUGUCCACCCGCCAGGUCAGAGCCUGGAGAGGAGGGGGGUGCGGAUCGCCCCGCCCCCGGGAAGCCCGGCCUGCAGCAGAGGCGACCCUCCUCCCCAUCGGAGGCCACCGGGGCCGCACCCGGGCAGUUACCUGCUAAGGGGAGGCCGGGUCUCCUCAAGACCGUCCCCCAAGAAUACCAAGAUUCUGCCGACGCCAGCCGGAGGCCACAGGGGCCCGUACAGGUGAGUGUGGCGGCCAGCUCUGCGUGAGCCCGGCCCCCACCGGCCGCUCUCCACACACUCUGGGCCACACCACUUGAUCUCAUCUGUGACGGGCCUUCCUUGACGGUUUGCUCCUUUCUUGCUGGAAACUUGGACUUUAGCACAGCUGAGCUGCCGGAAGAGGCUUGGUAUUUAACACACAGGAAAGACCCCAAGGGCAAGGGCAGAUAAGGACUUGGCCUGAGUCUCUCAGGUGUCCCCGAAGCACACUGCCUUGACAGGGGCCCUGAGAAGCCCUUGGGGAGGACCUCGGGCCCUUGAAGAGCUCUCUGCGGGCCAGGAAUGACAGUAGAGGCACUGCCAUCAAAACCGGUCCCCUGGGACCGGGAUUUCCCCUGGGAGCCGGAGGGGCAAGGCCCAGAGGUCAGCUGAGUAGCAGUCAUGAGGGACAUCUUCGCCACCGGCCAGCUGGUCAGGUGCCCCCGGUCCGAGAACAAUGCACAGCCUGGGAGAGCUCGCACCGAUUGCUAAGCGGAUGAUCCACAUCGGGAGAAGAGAGAUCUGACGCGACGUCCAGAGGGAGAGUCACACCCCUGGCCUGUGCCCUGCCUGAGCCAGGCCCAGAGGGGCGAGCGGGCUCCACCGUGAAGGAUUCUCAGUACGUGCUGCAAAUCCCCCGCCUUCCCGAGGUGCCCACUCCGUUGUACCCGUUAACUGUCGCUGCGGAACAAACCACCCCAAAACUCAACAGCUCGAACGAC